AUGAACGCUGGGCGUGCCUAAUACAUGCAGUCGAGGAACAGACGAGGAGCUUGCUCCUCUGACGUUAGCGCGGACGGGUGAUACGUGGUACACCUACCUAUAAGACGGGAUACUUCGGAAACCGGAGCUAAUACCGGAUAAUAUAUUGAACCGCAUGGUUCAAUAGUGAAAGACGGUUUUGCUGUCACUUAUAGAUGGAUCCGCGCCGCAUUAGCUAGUUGGUAAGGUAACGGCUUACCAAGGCAACGAUGCGUAGCCGACCUGAGAGGGUGAUCGGCCACACUGGAACUGAGACACGGUCCAGACUCCUACGGGAGGCAGCAGUAGGGAAUCUUCCGCAAUGGGCGAAAGCCUGACGGAGCAACGCCGCGUGAGUGAUGAGGUCUUCGGAUCUAAAACUC
rnacentral:rRNA from 1 species